UACGGAGGGUGCGAGCGUUGUCCGGAAUCACUGGGCGUAAAGGGCGCGUAGGUGGCGCGGGAAGUCAACGGUGAAAGUUCGGGGCUCAACCCUGAAUCGGCCGUCGAUACUCCCGGGCUCGAGCACUGUAGAGGCAGAUGGAAUCCGGGUGUAGCGGUGGAAUGCGUAGAGAUCCGGAAGACACCGGUGGCGGAAGGCGGUCUGCUGGGCGAG
rnacentral:rRNA from 1 species